UAUUAGUUACGGUCUUUAAACUUAAAGUAUUUGGCGGUAAAUUAAAUUAUCUAGAGGAACUUGUUCUGUAAUUGAUAUUCCACAAUUUAUCUUACCUUAAUUUGUUUAUCAAUAUGUAUAUCGCUGUUCUGAAAAUCUUUAUAGAGUUAAAUUUUCUUUUUUAAUUUUUUAUUUAAAUCAAGUCAAGGUGCAAUUUAUAUUGAGGGUUGAAAUGAGUUACAUUUUUGAGUAUAAUUUUGAUUUAAUUUUGAAAUUUAGUUAUUGAAAUUGGAUUUAGAAGUAAUUUUUUAUUAGAAAGUUAAUUUGAAUAUAACUCUAAUUUAUGU
rnacentral:rRNA from 1 species